GACGAACGCUGGCGGCGUGCUUAACACAUGCAAGUCGUACGGUAAGGCCCUUUCGGGGGUACACGAGUGGCGAACGGGUGAGUAACACGUGAGUAACCUGCCCACAACUUUGGGAUAACGCUAGGAAACUGGUGCUAAUACUGGAUAUGUGCUCCUGCUGCAUGGUGGGGGUUGGAAAGCUCCGGCGGUUGUGGAUGGACUCGCGGCCUAUCAGCUUGUUGGUGGGGUAGUGGCCUACCAAGGCGGCGACGGGUAGCCGGCCUGAGAGGGUGACCGGCCACAUUGGGACUGAGAUACGGCCCAGGCUCCUACGGGAGGCAGCAGUGGGGAAUAUUGCACAAUGGGCGCAAGCCUGAUGCAGCAACGCCGCGUGCGGGAUAACGGCCUUCGGGUUGUAAACCGCUUUCAGCAGGGACGAAGCUUUUUGUGACGGUACCUGCAGAAGAAGCACCGGCUAACUACGUG
rnacentral:rRNA from 1 species